rnacentral:rRNA from 1 species
UACAGAGGUCUCGAGCGUUGUUCGGAUUCAUUGGGCGUAAAGGGCGCGUAGGCGGCGGGGUAAGUCUGGUGUGAAAUCUCGGAGCUCAACUCCGAAAUUGCACUGGAUACUGCUCUGCUAGAGGGCUGGAGAGGAGAUCGGAAUUCCCAGUGUAGUGGUGAAAUACGUAGAGAUUGGGAAGAACACCAGUGGCGAAGGCGGCUAUCUGGACGGUUUCUGACGCUAAGACGCGAAAGCGUGGGGAGCAAACAGG